CCUACCCCUAAUAUAGCGUGGUGGGAAAGCCGAAGGAAUACUUAUUGAAGUAGUCACAACGACGACAUCACUAGCUAGGCCGCAUAUUCCAUCGCCAGAUCCGAACCAAGCGAAGUAAAGGAAGACGGGUGUCCUUUUCGUACACUGAGUGUGGUGGGUGAGUCUUCGUGCUGUGAAAACCUAAAAUUUUGACGUGGUGCUGUAUAUUGCUGUGGGUUGCUGUGUAUUGCCGUGUGUCCUGUCAGAUAAACCCCCGCCUUCACGCACUCCGUCGCGGGAGGACAAGGAGACUGCUGGUUCUAGCCUAGUUCAGUACAGUAUAUGUUGUGAGCGUGCUUCAGAUCUCCGGAGAUAGCACGGUACGCUGUGUUCAGCCCAGAGGUGGGAGCUAUUCAAAGCAAACUAACUGUGCUUUGUGUCCAAUCUGAUACCUGUGGAGAGAAAAGGAAAAAGAGAGUGAGUAACACAAGGAGAAACAGAGGAAACCUGUACUUACAGUACGCUGUGUUCAGCCCAGAGUUGAUACCUGUAGAGAGGAGGAGAGAGAGUGGAUAACGCGAGGAGAAAUAGAGCGAAACCUUUUUCUUACAGUACGCUGUGUCCAGCCCAGAGGUGAGAGCCAUUCAAAGCAAACUAACUGUGCUAUUGUGCCCAAGUUGAUACCUGUGGAGAGAAAAGGAGAGAGAGUGGGUAACACGAGGAGAGACCGAGGAAACCUGUACUUACGCCGCUGCCUGUGGAGAAAGAGAAAGCGAGUGAGCACCCAAGGAACGAACUGUGUGAACCAGUACUUACUGUGAGCUGCAAUCAGCGAAGAGGUGAAAGCCAUCCAAAGCAGAGUAACUGUAUUUUGUGUCCAAGUUGAUACCUGUAGAGAGGAGGAGAGAGAGUGGGUAACACGAGGAGAGACCGAGGAAACCUGUACUUACGCCGCUGCCUGUGGAGAAAGAGAAAGCGAGUGAGCACCCAAGGAACGAACUGUGUGAACUAGUACUUACUGUGAGCUGCAAUCAGCGAAGAGGUGAGAGCAAUACCAAGCCGAAUUAACUGUGCCUUUGCGUCCCAGCCGUUGCCUGUGGAGGAAGAGAAAGAGAGUGAGCACCCCGAGAACGAACUGUGUGAACCAGUACUUACCGUGAGUUGUAUUCAGCGAAGAGGAGGAAGAAGGAGGGCGCUACGGAUACCUAAGACUCUGGCCGGGCCCCGAGUCCCACGCCCCGGAUCCCCGUGGCCCCCUUGCUCCCUGACCUCUUCCCGGCCAUAGCCCAUCUGGAGGGCCGAGUCAGAGUUUAGUUUUAAUUGCCCUUUCCCUAUUCCCCAAGCUAUUUUUAAAUAUUUAAAUAAAGAUUGUUUUAUCACUUACUUGUUCUCGUGUUGUUUGGCCAUUGGGUUGGCUUUGGGGACCUCCUCGAGGUGGAAGUUGAAAAGGGGUGUGGCUUAGUCAAAGCAUAGCCGCCCCUGGGUGUGACAUUUGCAACCUGUGGAGUGCAUUGUCGAAGGACUAACAGAUGAGCAAACUGCAUACACACAUACAUAGACUUAAGAAGAUGCACACAACACUAGUGCAAAGAACAAUGGAUUAAGUUAUUAAGAGUUUAAGUAUUUAAAAGUUGCCUAAGAAGAGCGGUUGUAACGGUUCCCAGAGAAUUUUCAUUGUAAGGUUGUGCAUUUGCAACGUGUGUGUGAUAAGCGUUUAAUUUGUUUGCACACAUUUACUUUAAGAUUGCAAUUUAUACAUUUAAAGGUUUUAUUGAAUUUUCUAGAUUUCUAAAUGAGAAGUGUAUUGUAAAUGAUAUUGAUUUAUUUAUAUCAAUCUUUUCAAGGGUUUGAGAUGUUUAUAUUGAGUGUUUAAACAUAAUAUUUGAGUUGAAAGGUUAUCUUGAAC
ensembl:lncRNA